rnacentral:rRNA from 1 species
ACGGAGGGUGCAAGCGUUAAUCGGAAUUACUGGGCGUAAAGCGCACGCAGGCUGUUGGGUAAGACAGGGGUGAAAUCCCCCGGCUUAACCGUGGAACUGCAUUUGAUACUGCACAACUAGAGUUCGUGAGAGGGUGGCGGAAUUCCAGGUGUAGGAGUGAAAUCCGUAGAGAUCUGGAGGAACAUCAGUGGCGAAGGCGGCCACCUGGACCGGUAUUGACGCUGAGGUGCGAAAGCGUGGGGAGCAAACAG